UCGUUUUACACGCUAUCCAUUCUACAUGCUUUUAUUCUUAUACGGCUGUCCAUGUGAACAUUUUUCAUUUUAUUGAUUUAGUACGUAGAAAAGGGCUUAACGAAAAGCAAUGUAAAAAUUAUUGAGCUUUCGUAUUUAAUAGAAUUUUUAAGCGCGGAACUAAAAUCCCGCCGAAAGCUGUGUGCACUUCAAAGACCUAUUUAACACUUAGUUCUCUUUUAAGAAAAUCUAGAUAGGAAGUUGCGAACUGUAGCAAUCCGUCUAAGGCGGUCCAAUAGACGAACCUCUUUUUUUCCUUAUUUGCUUCUGCGAUAGCUGCUUUCGUACUCAUGGGAUAGCUUCAAGGCACUCUUUAAAGCAGAGCUUUGCAAUUUUCUGAAGCUGCUUUUCUUCUAUCCUUCUUUAUAGUGUUUUCAAAAU